rnacentral:lncRNA from 1 species
CACGAAACAUGAAUUUGAAAAUAAUUAAAUGUAUUUUUAACAUUACUGAAAAGGAUCGUCAGAAUAAAAAUGAAAUAAAUAAGUAGUCAGAAUAUGGGUUGAUUCCAAAUGUAUUGCUAUAAUCCAUUAGUUUAGAAAAGCAUGGAUCUACGAGGCAAGCCAAAAAGGACACAGAUGGUGGCUAAAGUUGGGCAGUUGGUGCCAAACUUCUUCUUUGUCUUUAUCCAUAAACACAAAAUAGAAAGUGCAGACUCCCAGUAGGCAGCAGUCUGCCACCUACUGGCAGAGUGAACACCAUACUUGUGUAACGGAGUUUAAAAGACAUCUGAAAAACAUGCACUUACCUGGUCUUAAUUAUUAUUUUAAGUGUGAAUUUUAUCAUUUUUUGUUGUAUUUUAUUUUGAAAACCCAGAAACCGGAUCUCACUCUAGCGUUUGGAAGCUGCUAAGGCUUCCGCUCCUCACAGCGCGCGUUUGCACUGUGAGGGUAAGUUCUGUAAUGAAAGGCUCUGGCAUUUUUAUGGUUUCUGGUGUGAAUGUUGUUACAUAAGUUGUACAUGUCGAUGUAUAUAGGUUUAUAUUGAUGUUAGGAUGUUACUGUGUAACCGAAACAAAGGCUGGUUGCUGUUAAACAGUGUUUCUGCCGUAUUUAGUGGUUGCUGCGCAUAGCAGUAAAUGUGUUUGGAUUUACUGUUUUUCUGUGCUUUUUGUGAUGUUGUUUUACAUUGUAGGAGCUACAAUUGCUGGUACCACCAGAAGACACAUGUUAAGUGUUUUCUAUGUCUUCUGCAGGAAUAAACCGUGAACAGCCAACCUUUCUGAGUGUCUGUGGUUCAUGAAGAACGGAAGCGUUACACUUGGUGAUGCUCUUAAUGCAAUAGAAAAUGAGACCCAUUCUCGGUGGGUGCCCUUUGUCAUUCUGUUCAU